rnacentral:rRNA from 1 species
UACGAAGGGGGCUAGCGUUGCUCGGAAUUACUGGGCGUAAAGGGCGCGUAGGCGGCACUGUUAGUCAGGCGUGAAAGUCCUGGGCUCAACCUGGGAACUGCGCUUGAUACGGCAGAGCUAGAGGAUGGAAGAGGCUCGCGGAAUUCCCAGUGUAGAGGUGAAAUCGUAGAUAUUGGGAAGAACACCGGUGGCGAAGGCGGCGAGCUGGUCCAUUACUGACGCUGAGGCGCGA